AAAAAAAAAGGCAACUCCUAUUGAGUAACAAUGGCUUCUCAAAUAAGAUUAAACAUCGGCGACAGCUCCAAGCCUCCACCGAUGGAUGACGAGGGUAGCAGGCUGAGGUUGUUGGGCGGUGACGGUCCGAUCCGGGGGCGUGAAGCAGACGGCGUAAAGCUGGCAAGUGAACUGUGAGGCACGGCGGUGGAGCAGCGGGACACGGCGGAAGAAGCGGCGAGGCGGGUGUGGUCGUGGCGGCUCCGAGUUGAGAGAGAAGAAGAGAGAGUGGUAGGCGGCGGCGUCUGGUGGGUGUGGUGGCGUGGAAAGGCUAAUUCCGCCGAUUGAGAUAGAGGAGGGGGAAGAGAGGGUGAGGCGCCGAGUGAGAGAGAGGGAGGCGGCUUUUUGUCUUGUAUGGAGUAUUACUAUAUUAGUUAAUGUCUAUUGUGUGUAUAUUAUUUGGGCCUUUAAUUUAUUAUUAUGUAAUUUUAAAAUACUUA